rnacentral:rRNA from 2 species
CUCCCCCAAGAGUCCACAUCGACGGGGAGGUUUGGCACCUCGAUGUCGGCUCAUCGCAUCCUGGGGCUGUAGUCGGUCCCAAGGGUUGGGCUGUUCGCCCAUUAAAGCGGUACGCGAGCUGGGUUCAGAACGUCGUGAGACAGUUCGGUCCCUAUCCGUCGUGGGCGUAGGAAAUUUGAGAGGAGCUGUCCUUAGUACGAGAGGACCGGGAUGGACACACCGCUGGUGUACCAGUUGUCUUGCCAAAGGCAUCGCUGGGUAGCUAUGUGUGGAAGGGAUAAGUGCUGAAAGCAUCUAAGCAUGAAGCCCCCCUCAAGAUGAGAUUUCCCAUAGCGUAAGCUAGUAAGAUCCCUGAAAGAUGAUCAGGUUGAUAGGUCAGAGGUGGAAGCGUGGCGACAUGUGUAGCUGACUGAUACUAAUCGAUCGAGGACUUAACCAAAC